CGUAGGGUGCAGGCGUUAAUCGGAAUUACUGGGCGUAAAGCGUGCGCAGGCGGCUCCUUAAGUCAGAUGUGAAAGCCCCGGGCUUAACCUGGGAACUGCGUUUGAAACUGGGGAGCUAGAGUGUGGAAGAGGGGGGUGGAAUUCCAGGUGUAGCAGUGAAAUGCGUAGAGAUCUGGAGGAACACCGAUGGCGAAGGCAGCCCCCUGGGCUAACACUGACGCUCAUGCACGAAAGCGUGGGGAGCAAAACAGGAUUAGAUACCCUGGUAGUCCACGCCCUAAACGAUGUCAACUGGUUGCCGGGGAAGUAAUUCCUUGGUAACGAAGCUAACGCGUGAAGUUGACCGCCUGGGGAGUACGGCCGCAAGGCUU
rnacentral:rRNA from 1 species